GCCUGCCCAGUGAUAAAAUUCAACGGCCGCGGUACCCUAACCGUGCGAAGGUAGCAUAAUCACUUGUUCUCUAAAUAGGGACUAGUAUCAACGGCACCACGAGGGCUGUACUGUCUCCUUUCUCCCAUCAGUGAAACUGAUCUCCCCGUGAAAAAGCGGGAAUUAUUAUAUAAGACGAGAAGACCCCAUGGAGCUUUAAACUCAUCACCCACUUCCUUACUUCUAUACCCAACCCAUAUAAGGAGCCUGUGUGGUAGUUUUGGGUUGGGGGGACCACGGAGUACAAUUUAACCUCCAUGACAAAUGGGCUACGCCCUUAUCUACGAACUACAACUCUAAGAAUCAUAAGCUGAUGUUUAAUGACCCGAUAUUCGAUCAACGAACCAAGUUACCCUGGGGAUAACAGCGCAAUCUACUUUAAGAGCCCCUAUCGACAAGUAGGUUUACGACCUCGAUGUUGGAUCAGGGCAUCCUGGGGGUGCAGCCGCUCCUAAUGGUUCGUUUGUUCAACGAUUAAAACCCUACGUGAU
rnacentral:rRNA from 1 species